UACGUAGGCAGCGAGCGUUGUUCGGCGUUACUGGGCGUAAAGGGUGUGUAGGCGGUUCUUUAAGUUUGGUGUGAAAUCUCCCGGCUCAACCGGGAGGGUGCGCCGAAUACUGAGGGACUCGAGUGCGGGAGAGGAAAGUGGAAUUCCUGGUGUAGCGGUGAAAUGCGUAGAUAUCAGGAGGAACACCGGUGGUGUAGACGGCUUUCUGGACCGUAACUGACGCUGAGACACGAAAGCGUGGGUAGCAAACAGG
rnacentral:rRNA from 1 species